rnacentral:lncRNA from 1 species
GCCCUGGGGGCGGGCUCUGCGGCCUGUGGCUGCAGAGGGACGCAAGAGCAUAAACUGAAAUCCCACAUCCCCGUGGAGGAACUUGGAGAUAAGAUGCAAAGCGCAGCAAAUAGGAGCCACUCUUUCAGAGAUGACAGACCACCUGGUUUCGAGGAGCAGCAGACAGCGUGAAUGAAUGAAGUUGGCCAGUUCUGUGUGUUGACUGGAAUCACCUGGGAAGUUUUAGUCCUGUGAUACCACCUGGAACCACAGCAUUCAGAGUGAACAGACAACCUACAGAAUGGGAGAAAAUUUUUGCAAUCUAUCCAUCUGACAAAUGGCUAAUAUCCUGAAUCUACAAAAAACUCCAACAAAUUUAUAAGAAAAAAACAAACAACCCCAUCAAAAAGUGGGUGAAGGAUACAAACAGACACUUCUCAAAAGAAGACAUUUAUGUGGCCAAAAAAAUAUGAAAAAAAACUCAUCAUCACUGGUCAUUAGAGAAAUGCAAAUCAAAACCACAAUGAGAUACCAUCUCAUGCCAGUUAGAAUGGCGAUCAUUAAAAAGUCAGGAAACAACAGAUGCUGGAGAGGAUGUGAAGAAAUAGGAACACUUUUACACUGUUGGUGGGAGUGUAAAUUAGUUCAACCACUGUGGAAGACAGUGUGGCAAUUCCUCAAGGAUCUAGAACCAGAAAUACCAUUUGACCCAGCCAUCCCAUUACUGGAUAUAUACCCAAAGGACACAUGCACACGUAUGUUUAUUGCAGCACUAUUCACAAUAUCAAAGACUUGGAACCAACCCAGAUGCCCAUCAAUGACAGACUGGAUAAAGAAAAUGUUGCACAUAUACACCAUGGAAUACUAUGCAGCCAUAAAAAGAAUGAGUUCAUGUCCUUUGUAGGGACAUAGAUGAAGCUGGAAACCAUCAUUCUCAGCAAACUAACACAGGAACAGAGAACAAAACACCACAUGUUCUCACUCAUAAGUGGGAGCUGAACAAUGAGAACACAUGGACACAGGGAGGGGAACACCACACACUGGGCCUGUUUGGGGGUGGGGGGUUGGGGAGGGAUAGCAUUGGGAGAAAUACCUAAUGUAGAUGAUGGGUUGACAGGUGCAGCAAACCACCAUGGCAGGUGUACACUUAUGUAACAAACCUGUACUUUCUGCACAUGUAUCCCAGAACUUAAUGUAUAACAAUAAAUAAAUAAAUAAAAGGAUUUUUUUGCUACAAUGCAUAGCUCGAAAACUUUAAAAA